UACAGAGGUCCCAAGCGUUGUUCGGAUUCACUGGGCGUAAAGGGUGCGUAGGCGGUCGGGUAAGUCUGAUGUGAAAUCUCACAGCUUAACUGUGAAACUGCAUUGGAUACUAUCCGGCUCGAGGAAUGGAGGGGAGACUGGAAUUCCUGGUGUAGCGGUGGAAUGCGCAGAUAUCAGGAGGAACACCGGUGGCGAAGGCGGGUCUCUGGGCCGAUACUGACGCUGAGGAGCGAAAGCGUGGGGAGCGAACAGG
rnacentral:rRNA from 1 species